GGGGGGGGGGGGGGGGGGGGCGGGGGGGGGCGGGGGGGGCGGGCGGACGGGGGGCUUGCUCCGCUGAGGUUAGCGGCGGACGGGUGAGUAACACGUGGGUAACCUACCUAUAAGACUGGGGUAACUUCGGGAAACCGGAGCUACUACCGGCUAACAUGUUGAACAGCAUGGUUCCACAGUGAAAGACGGUCUUGCUGUCCCUUAUAGCUUGCUCCGCGCCGCAUUAGCUAGUUGGUAAGGUAACGGCUUACCAAGGCAACGAUGCGUAGCCGACCUGAGAGGGUGAUCGGCCACACUGGAACUGAGACACGGUCCAGACUCCUACGGGAGGCAGCAGUAGGGAAUCUUCCGCAAUGGGCGAAAGCCUGACGGAGCAACGCCGCGUGAGUGAAGAAGGUCUUCGGAUCGUAAAACUCUGUUAUUAGGGAAGAACAAAUGUGUAAGUAACUAUGCACGUCUUGACGGUACCUAAUCAGAAAGCCACGGCUAACUACGUG
rnacentral:rRNA from 1 species